UCCCGCUGUACCUCGCGGCGGCCGGCAUCUACUGGGUGCUGAGCCUCACGUUCGAGGCGUUGCAGCGGCGG
rnacentral:tRNA from 1 species